GUGAAUCAUCAAAUUUUUGAACGCAAAUUGCACUCUCUUCGGAGAGUAUGCCUGUUUGAGGGUCAGCCUAAAAAAAAAAUCGACUUAUUCGCUGUUUCGCGGUUAUUUUCGACGGAGAUUGGGUGGUCUUAAACCUUUUGGUUUUUUAGGCGGCUUAAAAUUGUCUUUGCGUGUCCACGAACGUUUCUAAGAUUUA
rnacentral:misc_RNA from 1 species